GGAGCAUUUAUAAUGUCAAGGGUAUAAUGGACUUUUCAGGUAAAAGUUGUAUAAAUCAAAGUGACUAUUGUGAUAACUAGAGCAUAGUAAAAUAAUUUUUGUGUAACAAAAGAAAGAAAAAUAACUUUUGGGUAAUGAACACAAAGUUGAAUGACUUUUAUGUAACAAAAAAAGAAAAAUGACUUUAGAGUAAUGAACACAAAGUUGAAUGACCACCCACAAAAUUUACUCGAACUUUGUUUGACAAAAAUUUGCUAAAAAUAUCUACUAUUUUAUGGAAAGAAAAAUAGUAGAAAAUCAAGGAAGGAAUAUUUUCUAAAGCUGAGUAUGAAAAAAUGGGUGUACUAUAAUAAUAAAGAAGAAUAUGGUCGAUCGCCUGUGAAAAAAGAAGAUGGAGGGAAGAAAAAACUUAAUUUUCAAAAUAGUAAAAACAUUAACUUAAUAUGAGAUAACCUAAGGCAAUAAAACAGAACUCUCUACGUUCAAAAUUUUUAAUCUACAUACAUCUCAACAAAAUAAACUCAUCACUUAUAAUGGAUAAAAAAUUCAACAAAAAUUAAAUCUCAAUAUCUCAUGAGAUGAAAAGUACUGCAUGCAUGUGCCCACGUAAUAAAUUUAUGUAAACCAAGUGGGAUUCUUUCAACAAAGCUCUCUUUUAUUCUUUCUAACUAAUAUAUAAUUGCAAAGUUCCUAAAAAGCUUACUACUACAUUAUUAAAUCCGCUCAGAUUACAUUAUCAACCUUGUGAAAAUUUAUUAGAGUGCAAAACUUCACAAACGAACCCCAUGUUAAGCUUAAACCAGCGUCCUAAUUUUAUUUUAUUUUUUUUCAUUUCAAAAGAAAUGCUAAUUUUAAAGGACAACAUAGUGCACAAUGCAUCCCGCAAGCGCCGCACCCCAAAGGAUGUGAUGUAGACAGCAUACUCUAAUGCAAGGAUUAGUAGCUAUAUCCACGGCUCGAACCCGUGACCUAUAGUUUGUCACUUCAAAAAUUAAAAUAAAAAAUUUGUUUUAAACCAGCAAAACUUAAGAAUCAAAAUGAGUUCAAAUCAGAACAAGGAAACAAGAAUGAACCUUUAACUUAACGAUAUAUGAAGUUAGACACUUUGCGAAAGAUGCCAAGAAUCUCAACGCGGGAAGCUUUUUUUUUUUGUGUGGGGUUUAGAUCCGAAAUAUCCUCAGACUUAAAUAGGGAGCAAGGAAGAAAGACAACCAUUGAUCAAAAAUAUUAAUUUCAUGGCUAUCCUUCACUCAUACUUCAAUUCUCUUCGUUAAUGCUUCGACAAGAGUGGGAGAAAAUUUGGUAUAUGAAGCCUCAGAAAAUGAUAGAGACCAAAAGUUGGUAAAGAAAGGUUGUUCAUAUCUCAAAAAUACUCUAGGUAUCUGAAUUUAAGAAGAUAAUGUUUUUUUUUGUUGCGAUUUUCUCAAUAAAUAUGUAAACUAAGAAAAAAACAAUGAAAUUAAAUUGAUCGAAUAAGUGAAAAAAUGAGGUAAUUAGGAAAAGGAUGGUUAAAUAUUGGGUUUGUAAACAUGGCGGUCGCGAUGGUAGUGAUUGUGGUGGUUGUGAUAAUAGUGAUUGGUGUGAUGAUUGUAAAUGGUGGCUUGUAAAGGUGAUGGCUAAAAUAUGGCCAUUGACGACAGUGGUGGUUGAGAAUAGUGGUUGAGAAUAGUGGUUGUGAACGGUGGUAGUCGAUAGUGGUAGGCAACGACGGUAUCGAUGGAUGGAGUUGCAAAAAUCCUUAAAUAUGGAUAGUGUAUAUGCCAAAAUAUGUCCUAAGGAUAUUCAGCGUAAUACGGCAUUAAGAAAAGAGUUGGUCGAGCUCGACCAGGAAGAAGCAAGAUUCCUGGCCGAGAUGUCAACCAUAACCGAGGUCGAGCAUCGUGUAAAGAACAGUAACGGCUAGUUUUUAAAAUAAGAUAUUAAAGAGUGAAUAUUCCCUGCAUUUGUACUAUUAUGGUUAACUAGGGAUAUAUGUCAAAGAUAUAAGGGAAAAAGAAAAGGGAAUAGGGGCAUGUAAUAUUCAUUUUGAUAAGAACACUAUUCAGGAGAAGAUUCUCUCUCUCUUGAAAGAAUACAAAGAUUACCUUUUUAUCAAGAUUCUUGCUCAUAUUAUUCCACAUCUUUUCACUAGAUCCGAUGAUUGAUCAAGUAAAUCUUGGAUCAAUCUGUCAUUCAUCAUUGUCGGGAGAAACAUUCAUCAAAUCCAUCUAUUAUUGGGUGAAUCAUUUCUCAUAUUUACUUAAAUGUCAUUUAUUAUUAUUUAUUACUAGUUGCACCUCCAUUAUUACUCACACUUUAAGAAUAUUUUAUACUUAUUAUCAUCAAUAUUUUACGGGAUUUGUCCCCAUCUCCCACACGUUUUCAAGACUUGCAUCUAGAGUUAUUAUAUUUAACUAGAUUUAACUCAUUAUUACAUUAAUUUAAUAUAUUAGCCGAAAGUUACACUUUUUGGAUAAAUAAUUUGGUGCCGUCUGUGAGGAUUUUCUAGUUAAAUCUUUUAGUUUCUUCUAGAUCUACAAUCGACACUGGUUACUAACGUAAAGAAAAAAAACAAAGCAAGAACCUUUUUCUCUCUACAUGCAUAGAUCUAAUAUGGCAGGUAACAGAGAAGAAAAAACGAGAAUAAUGAGUGACCUCCCAAUCAACCUCAUGAACAUCAUCCACGAGAUCUCUGAAGCAGUGGACGAGGACACGACGCCCAAUGCCUAUCCUAGGCGAGGUGGAUCAUCCCUUCCCCACCGCAGCAUCACAAAAUCUCUUGGUAAGACAACCUCCACAUACGUGGGAGAGAAGGUGCCACCAACGAUAAAGAAUCUCCUUGACGCUUGGCUAACUGAUACACUGACCAGCGUCCAUAAGCCCGUUCGGGACGCGGUCGCAGAAAAUGCGAGAACCUGUGUUACGCCACCAGUGGAUGAGCAAAUGAUCAACCUCCGCCUCCCACGAGGACAGGUAUGACUCACAAUGUUGUUAAUAAUGCAGGUGACGAUGCUCUCACCGCCAUUCUGAAAAGAAUGGAGGAAAGGGAGAAUGAGAAUAAGGAACUUCGGGACCAAAUGAAAGAACACCAAGAAAGGGUCGAUAAAAUACUGAGCGCUCCUAAGCUAUUGCCGAAGAGAGAUGUCGAUCGGUUUGUCGAGCAACCGUACAGUGAUAGUGCUGCCCCACAUUCCAUACCAAAGACCUUUAAAAUGUCCUUAUUUGAAAAUAUACCAUGGCACAAGCGACCCCGAGGAUCAUGUGACCCACUACGUCACCCGCCAUGAAAGGCAAUGACCUCGCCAAGGAACAAGUAUCCUCCAUUAUGCUAAAACAAUUCGGCAAAACCCUCACGGAAGGCGCAUUAAUCUGGUAUUCGCAACUGCCUGCACGUUCCAUCGAAACCUUUGAGGAAAUGGCUGAUAAGUUCGUAACGGCCCAUGCUGGGGCCAAGAAGGCUGAGGCAAGAGUAAAUGACAUCUUCACUAUCAAACAGUCUUCGGGAGAGGGGCUGGGGGACUUCCUCGCCCGUUUUAACCGAGUAAGAAUGACCUUGCCCAAUGUAUCGGAAGGAAUGGCGGUAGCAGCUUUUCAAAAAGGGCUGAGCAGAAAUGGUUCAAGGGCGACAAGAAUAUUAUUAAGUCAACUUAUGAAGUAUCCCCCAACGACUUGGGACGAAAUACAUAAUGCAUAUCAUGCCAAAGUCCGAGCAGACGAAGACGACCCAUCGACUGACCUCGGUACAAGUGGAAUCCAGAAAAGAUCAAAGAAAUGAUAUCAGAAGAGACCUUGUGGCCUUACGACCAAACCGGGAACGAUAUCUCCCAUAUGUCAGAGCUACAGCUGUGUCCUCAUCCCGCCAUGAAGAAGGCCAACCACGAUAAAGAAUAGGGACUCACCAGAAUGAGAGAGGUAUGCCCCAUUUACUAUCCGCUUAGAAUUUUUGCGUGUCACCUAUAGAGAUAGACUACGCCUUGGAGAAGCUCAGACCAAAGGUGAAGUGGCCACAAAAGAUGAGGUCAGACCCGAAUACCAGAAAAUCAGACGCCCUCUACGAGUUCCAUCAAGAGUGAGGACACAAAACCAAAGAUUGCAUCGCCCUAAGAUAGGAGGUCAUAAAUAUGCUACGACACGGACACCUCAAAGAAUUGUUGAGCAAUUGGGGAAGGACCAACUUUGCUAGGGGGCGUGAACAACAUCAAGGGCUGCCGAAACCGCCCUCGCCAACCCGCAUCAUCCACAUGAUCAUCGGUGGAGGGGACGACGAUUCCAUAAAUAGUGUAAAGUUUACCACAACCCACAACCUCAAACGGUCGAUCACCCACGAACGGUAAUAAACUUGAAGAAAGUAUCAUCUUCGAUAAGUCAUAUACCAACGGUUUCGCUUUACCUCACUAUGAUGCUCUCGUUAUUACUUUAUAAAUUUUAGAUACCGGCAUAAGACGGAUUAUGGUAGAUGAUGGGAGCGGCGCGUGUAUUAUCCAUCCUCGAGUACUCGCACAAAUGAAACUCGAGGACAAGAUAGUGCCACAUUGUAUCACACUAACAGGCUUUAACAAUGCAGUUGAGUGAACAUCUGGCGAGAUCACACUCCCCGUCCUAGCGAGUGGUGUCACUCUGGAGACCACAUUCCACAUCAUGGACUAGGACACAGCAUACAACGCUAUAAUAGGACGACCAUGGAUACACACUAUGAGAGCUAUCCCCUCCAACUUGUACCAAGUCGUCAAAUUCCCAACUCCAUUGGGAAUAUUCAGUAUACGAGGGGAGAAACGCACGUCCCAGGAAUGCUACUGCAUCGCCCUAGACUGUACUGCCACCCAACAAACAAAGGAUAAACAAAAAGAGGCAUAGCAAUCAACAGGGUGGAGGUCGGUAUGCGAUGACAACGAGGACGUCAUCAGAGACCUCGAUAUGGUCUAGGCCGCAGGAUUGACCGUAGAGGACCUCGACCUCGUUCAAUUAGACAGCAACGACCAUGGCAAGAAAGCUCACAUCGGUUGCAAACUUCAGGAAUCAAGUAAGUUUUGUGAAUUUUUAACUGCUAAUGCGGACUUAUUUGCUUUUAGCCAUGUAGAUAUGCCAGGUAUCCCAAAGGAGAUCGUCAUGCACAAAUUGAACGUCGAUCCACUCUACCCCCCCCCCCUGGUGAGGCAGGUUAGGAGUAAGUUCAACUCCGUAAUUAAUGAUGUAGUACGCGAAGAAGUGGAAACAUUGUUGGAAAAUGGCUCCAUCAUUGAGUCGAAGUACCCCCAAUGGGUUGCCAACUAGUCAUGGUUAAAAGGAAGAACGGCAAGUGGCGGAUGUGUGUUGAUUUCACUGACGUGAACAACGCUUGCCCCAAGGAUUCAUUUCCAUUACCUCAUAUCGACCAAACUCAUCGACGCAACAGCCGGGCAUGAGCUACUAAGUUUCUUAUAUGCCUACUCGGGCUAUAAUCAGAUCCUUAUAGAGGAAGAGGACCAGGAAAAGACCACCUUCAUCACCCACGAGGGGACGUACUGCUACAGGGUCAUGCCCUUCGGACUGAAAAAUGCGGGAGCAACUUACCAAAAGAUAUAAACUUAUCUUUGCAAAUAUAAUUUUGUUGCACACAGUAGCUCCAUCUAUUCUCCGCAGACGAGCAAGAAAUAUUUAAAGUACAAUUGUGGCGGUUGCAGCUUAACAAAAAGAAGGCAGUUUUGAACAUUAGAAAUUCAAACCAAAACUUUAGAUUAGGUGGAAAACAUUGAACUGCCUAUAAAAAGAAAUUUAGGCCAAAUAGAUAAGUGGACUCUUAAAAUUAUCAUCACUUUCCAUUUGGAUAUUUGAACAACUUGUUUGGAUGGUUUUUAUCAAUUCUAUCGUAUUGUAUUGUUAUCCAAAAACAGUAUUUGUUUGAUUUUGUUUAUUUAAAAUUGGUUGUAUUGUAUUGUUAAAUUCAUUGUUCAGGAACAAAGAAAAGUCCCACUUCGGUCGUCAUGACUUUUCCCUUAAAAAGCAUUUUACAUAAACCCGAGCUAUCGGGCAGGAUGGCCAAAUGGUCGAACUGAGCGAGCACGAUAUUACAUAUCGGCCGCGAAUGGCAAUAAAUUCAUAGGUCCUCGCAGACUUUGUCACCGACUUCAGUGUAAAAAUAAGGCCCGAAGUCAAAAAAGAAGUUGUCCACGCUUCUCCCCAAACAUAAGACCUCUAGGUCUUGUACAUCGAUUGCGCGACUAACGCAUCAGGAUCUAGGCUGGGACUCGUACUCGAAGUCCCAACAGGCGAAGUGAUUUGCCAGUCCAUAAGAUGCCCGGACAUGACUAACAACGAGACCGAGUAUGAAGCAGUAAUUGUAGGACUGAGACUAGCAAUCAAAUAUGGAGCGAAGUGGCUCAGAUUGCACUUCGAUUCUCAACUUGUGGUCAACCAAGUCAUAAGGACUUUCCAAAUCAAGGAGCAAAGGUUAAAAAAGUACCAGACUGAAAUCUGCAAGCUACUACCCGAGUUCGAUGAAUAUCAACUCGAUCGGAUCCCCUGAGCACAGAACACCGAGACGGACGGACUCGCCAAAUUAGCCGCAGCCACCAAAAACAUUACAACCGGAGAAAGAAAUGUGGCCCACCUCCUCAACUCGUUAAUAGAUCAAAUCAAGGUAAGAACCAUAAACCUGACUUGGGAUUGGCACAACCAUAUUAUUACAUAGCUGCAGGACGGCGUACUCCCUAAUGAUAAAAAAGAGGCCAAGAAGCUGUGAAUGCAAGCAUCCAGAUACAACAUCAUUCAUAACGACCUGUACAAAAGGACAUAUAGCGGCCCUCUAGCGAAAUGUUUAGGCCCAAAUCAGACGCAGCGCGUCCUUGAAGAAGUACACGAAGGCCAUUAUGGAGCUCAUUCCGGCAAUCGAGCUUUAGUCAGAUGCCUCAUACGGUUAGGAUAUUACUGGCCCACCAUGAAAAAAGAGGCCACGGAUUUCGUGAAAAAAUGCGAGCAAUGCCAUAAGUGUGCCCCAAUGAUCCACCAAGCAGGCGAACACCUACACUCAGUAACUUCCCCUUGGCCGUUCAUCAAAUGGGGAAUGGACAUCGUACACUCAGUAACUUCCCCGGCAGGACGAGGUAACGUACGAUUUCUUUUGGUUUUAGCUGACUAUUUCUCUAAAUGGGUGGAAGCAGGAGCAUUCGCCCAAAUACGCGAACAAGAAAUGAUCACCUUCAUAUGGAAAAACACCAUAUGUCGUUUCGGUCUCCCCAAAGAAAUAAGCUGCAACAACGAACCCCAAUUUACGGAAGGAAGGUCGCCGACUUUUUUGAAAAAUGGCACAUCAAAAGAAUACUCUCAACGCCUUACCACCCCGCGGGCAACGGGCAAGCGGAAUCCUCCAAUAAGUCAAUACUGAAGAUCGUGAAGAAGAAACUCGAAGACGCCAAGGGACUGUGGCCGAAAAUAUUACCAGAAGUACUCUGGGCCUACCAAACAACGCCAAAGACGAGCACAGCAGAAACACCACAAUCGUUAGUCUAUGGGACUAAUGCAGUAAUACCGGUUGAGGUUAGGGAGCCCAGCUUAAGAUACUCCUAUGAAAGCGAACCCCAAAAUGAUGACAGUAGAAUACAGGAACUCGGCGAAGCCGAGGAACGAAGAGAUAUGGCCUACGUGAGAAUAAUCGCCCAAAAACAACAAGCAGAACGCUAUUAUAACAAAAAGGCAAAGAUCGGGCCACUCAAAGUUGGGGACUACGUGCUUAAAGUCAAAACACAAGCAAGCAAAGACUCGCAGGAAGGCAAACUAGGAACAAACUAGGACGACCCAUACAAAAUCACGGCAACAGCAAACAAAUGGUCAUUCACACUAGAAACAAUGGAAGGAAGGCGACUACCAAACAACUGGAAUAUUACACACCUCAAGUACUUCAACUUUUAAAGGAUGAUGUCCCUAAAGUCGUACUAUUUUUCCUCACUCGAGUUUUGUCCCAAUUGGGUUUUCUCAAGGAGGUUUUUAAUGAGGCGAUGAUGGGGAUACUUCAGGAUUGAAGUGCGCACAAACAGAGGCACUAGACAGCUAGUUCAUUGCUCGACCUCUGAAUAUUUUUCCAGCUCGACCAAUGAAGGGACUAUAUAGACUGGGACUAGGACUGAAAUGCCAGCCAGCACCCGAAAAAUAUGUAAAUAUCUCCAAGUAUAUGAACAAAAUGCAAACACAUGAAGCUUAUUUAUGUUCGAAGUUUAUUUCUGUUCUCUCCAAGGAUAGGUUACAUUCGACCUCGUUCGAAUUACACCUACUUGGCCCUCAGCCAUAACUGAAUAUAGGUUACAUUUGACCUUGUUCGAAUUUACACCUACUCGGCCCUCGACAAUAAUUGAAUAUAGGUUACAUUCGACCUAGUUCGAAUUAACACCUAAUUGGCCCUCGGUCAUAACUAAAUAUAAGUUAUAUUCGACCUCGCUCGAAUCAACACCUAAUCGGCCCUCGACCAUAAAUAAACAUGCGAUGUGUUCGACCUCGUUCGAACCAACACCUACUGGACCUCGGCCAUAAUCAAACCUAGGUUUUGUUUCAACCUCCUUCAACCUAAUUGAACAAAAUUAUUAUGGCUAAGGCAACCAAGCAACAAAGUCAAAAAAGUAUACAUACCUGAACAGAAGAAAAAGAAUCAGGUACGAAUAACAGAACUAGCAUUUCAUACUUAGAAUAUUUUUUACAAAGGCUCUAAAACACGCCCACAAAAAAUACACAAGUCUGCGGCUAAGCAAAAAAAGAAGGAAAGAAAAAACAACUAAUCGUCGCCUGGCCCAGCAACGCCAUCAGCUUGAUCGCCUAGGCCAUCUCCAUCUGCCUCUUCACUAUCGCCAUCGCCAUCGGGAUACUUAUCCUCAUACCAGACGUCUUGUUCAAUCCGAUCCACGCCUCCACCCUCCUCGACAUCACCGGCUUCUAGUGUAACGGGAUCAUAGCCACAAGCAACUCGAGUUGUACGUACCUUAACACGAGCAUCCUUGAAGUCGGCCUCUGAAAUAGUUUCUGCCCCCAUCAGAUCUCUAAAUAUAUCCAACUGGGCCUCGACGUGAAUCCAUUCCUCAUACACAUCCCGCGGAACAUCAGGAAAAGCAGAAGUAUGGGAAGAAGACGGUCGAGCCAAUAAAUGUGCCAUCUCGACUCAAGAGCAGCAACUCGAUCACAAAGGCCUGAAGCCUCAUUUUCUAGCUCCCCUAUCCAUUCAUCAAGCAGCUCCUCUCUGAGCCUGGCCAUCUCCAGAGCACUCUCCCGCUCAAAAUGAAGAAUGUGGAUCACGAUCUCUAAAGCCUCCAUUUUCCUCGUAGCCCCCAACAGGGCCAACUCUGCCUUCUCUAAAUUUGUUACCUUCUCAGCGACCUCGCCACUCAGAGCGUCUGCUUUGAGUUGACACUCCUCGAGCUCGGCGCGCAAUGAGACCACCUGGGCUUGAAGAUCACUACAUUGAGCCCCGACCCCCUUGCUCACCUCAAGCUCUUCUUCUUUGUCCCUUAACACCCCCUCAAUAAUGUUGCAUUUUUCGAUGACUCUUACCAACUCGUCAUCCUUCUCCUUCAGUUCAUCUCGGAGAGCCUGGAAAUUGCCGCUCUCACCGAACCGUCUGCAGAUCUCGCGGUGCUUAUUCAAUAUUCACGAUAUUUUCGCUCCAUCUUCUGAAAAAUAGCCUUACGCCUAUUUCACGACCCAAAAUUCCCACCUUCGGGGCCGUGAUGGCGCCUAACAUUUUACUUGCUAGACAAUCCAACGUUAGAAUAAUUUUAAUCAUUUUUUUUAACAAUUUAAUUUAAUUAAUAAUAAAGAAACUAAUAAUUGGAAUAAAAUCUAAAAUAAAAUAAGUAAACCAUAAUAAUAGCGAUGUCUAAAUACCAUCCUAGAAUUCGUGUCACAAGUGCACGAGCUACUAGAAUGAUACAAAUAAGGGUCUGAAUGAAAAUAAAGUUGUCUGACAGAAAUAAACAUCUAAAAUAAAGUAGAUGGGGACUUCAGAGCUGCGAACGUCGUGAAGCUAUACCUCAAGUCUCAUGUGGAUAGCUGAAUCCGAGCAAAUCUAUUGUACGUCGUUAGGACCAACUCAGGUAUUUGCACAAGAAGUGCAGAGUGUAGUAUGAGUACAACCGACCCCAUGUACCCAGUAAGUGUCGAGCCUAACCUCGACGAAGUAGUGACGAGGCUAAGGCAGGUCACUUACAUUAACCUGUACACAAUAAUAAUAAUAAUAACAACAAUAUAGGAGAAUAUGAAUGGAAAUUAAACCGGUAAAUCAUAUCAACAAUCAAGCCAACUCGGCAGUCAUAACCAAUUAUUACUUAAAUCAUUUUUUGUUGCGGCGUGCAACCCGAUCCCACAAUAUAUUCAGAUUCAAUUUCGUUGUUACGUGCAACCCGAUCCCACAAUAUAUUUAUUUUUAUUUAAUUCUGUCGUGGCGUGCAACCCGAUCCUCAAUAUAUCUUUUCAAUCAAUUCUAUUGCGGCGUGCAACCCAAUCCUCCAAUAUAUUCACUUUCAAUCAAUUCUCUUGCGGCGUGCAACCCGCUACUCCAAUAUAUUCACUUUCAUUUCUGUUGCGGCGUGCAACCCGCUCCUCAAUAAUAUAAUUUAUCAAUUCUUAUAAAAGAAAUUAUUCCAAUAAAUGCAACAAUUAAUAUGUAAUUAUAAUACAGCAAGCAUAUAAUAAUUAUGAUUUAUUUAGUAAACAAGUGAUGACAAGUAGNNNNNNNNNNNNNNNNNNNNNNNNNNNNNNNNNNNNNNNNNNNNNNNNNNNNNNNNNNNNNNNNNNNNNNNNNNNNNNNNNNNNNNNNNNNNNNNNNNNNNNNNNNNNNNNNNNNNNNNNNNNNNNNNNNNNNNNNNNNNNNNNNNNNNNNNNNNNNNNNNNNNNNNNNNNNNNNNNNNNNNNNNNNNNNNNNNNNNNNNNNNNNNNNNNNNNNNNNNNNNNNNNNNNNNNNNNNNNNNNNNNNNNNNNNNNNNNNNNNNNNNNNNNNNNNNNNNNNNNNNNNNNNNNNNNNNNNNNNNNNNNNNNNNNNNNNNNNNNNNNNNNNNNNNNNNNNNNNNNNNNNNNNNNNNNNNNNNNNNNNNNNNNNNNNNNNNNNNNNNNNNNNNNNNNNNNNNNNNNNNNNNNNNNNNNNNNNNNNNNNNNNNNNNNNNNNNNNNNNNNNNNNNNNNNNNNNNNNNNNNNNNNNNNNNNNNNNNNNNNNNNNNNNNNNNNNNNNNNNNNNNNNNNNNNNNNNNNNNNNNNNNNNNNNNNNNNNNNNNNNNNNNNNNNNNNNNNNNNNNNNNNNNNNNNNNNAUAAAUAAUUAAUAUAAUAAUUAAUUUAUGAUUUAAAAUAAUUUAUGGUUUUCAUAUAAAUGUGAAAACAAUCAAUUUGACGACGUAUAGGCACUCGUCACCUCGCCUAUACAUCGUUACACAUGAAAUUCAUGUAACAAUAAUUCAAGGGUUUUAUUCUCUCAAGUCAAGGUUAACCACGACGCUUACCUUGCUUCGCAAGCAAAUUCAAAAUUCCAAUAAACCUUUGCCUCGCGAAUUGAUGUCUGAAAGCUGCAAAUCUAGUCACAAACAAUUCAAUAUUCUCAACACAAAUCGUAGGAAUUAAUUUCAUGUGAAAUUACUAAUUUUCCGGAUUAAAAUCCGAAAUUCAUUUCAAAAAUCAACAGUGGGACCACGUCUCGAAUCCUGGAAAAACUCACGAAAUCCGAACACCCGUUCCGAUACGAGUUCAACCAUACAAAAAUUAUUGAAUUCUGACAUCGGAUUGGCUUUCAAAUCUUAAAUUUUCGUUUUUAGAAGAUUUUAUAAAAAUCUGAUUUUUCUUCCAUAAAUUCACGGAUUCAUGAUAUAAAUGAGUAUGGAAUCAUGAAAUAUAACUAAUUUCGGAUAAAGAAUAUUACCCAACUCAAAAUCAUGAAAAAUGCCUCUGAAAUCGCCCAAAAUCGAGGUCUAAAACUCUAAAAAUAAACAAAAAUGUCGGACUCUGGACAUAUAUAUUUUGUCCAGGCAAGUCGCAUUUGUGAGAUGCGACUUGUCUCAAAAUUUUCAAGCCAAAAAUUGCGGUACCAACCUUCAAUCAAUCGAUCGUAACUUUCUGUACAAAUAUCCAAAUGAUGAAUGGUUUAUCUUUUUGGAAACUAGAAUCAAAGAGUUACAUCUUUCAUGUUUUGAUAAUUUCCAGAUUACUCAUAAAUUGUGAGAUAUAAGCUUCAAAAAUCAGCCAUAUGCAUCAGAAAUUUCUGGCGAUGUACACUGCCAGGCAAACAAAAACUGCAUUACCAGCCUUCAGUCAAUCGAUCAUAACAUUCUAUACAAAUGGCCAAAUGAUAAAUGGUUUAUCUUUCUGGAAACUAGAAUCAAAGGGCUACAACUUUUUUGUUUUGAUAAUUUCCAGAUUCCUUGUAUAUUGCGAGAUAUAAGCUUCCAAAGUCAGCUCUGAGCAUCAAAAAUUUCACACACUGCUGUAAAAAAAUAUUAGUUAAAAAUGACCUGAAAAUGGUCUAAACCACUCUAAAACUCACUCGAGCCCCUCGGGAUCCCGUCCUAACAUACCAACAAGUCUCAAAAUAUAUUAUGAACCUACUGGAGGUCUCAAAUCACACAUAACAAUGGCGAAACUACAAAUCGCGCGUCGAUUCGUACUUAUAAGUUUAUGAAAUUUUCAAUUCUAUAACUCGCGCCGAAACAUGCCAAAUCAAUUCGAAAUGAACUCAAAUUUUGCAUGCAAGACAUAAAUGACAUAGUGGAGUUGUUCCAAUUUCAAAAAUCAAAUUUCAACCCCGAUAUCAAUAAAGUCAACUCUCCGUCAAACUUUUCAAAAAUCUUCUAUUUUUCAACUUCGCCAAAAUGUGUCGAAUUGUCCUACGGACUUUCAAAUCCAAAUCCGAACAUGCGCCUAAGUCCGAAAUCACCAUACGAAUCUAUUGGAAUCAUCAAAAUUCCACUCCGGAGUCGUUUUCCUCAAAAGUGAAAUCUCCGGUCAAACUUUAGAAAUUCAAGCUUUAUAAAAUCAAACCUUUUAUUUUUUUCAAAAACUAACGGAAAACGUACCUACGUACCUCGGAAUAACUUCAAAUUUUGUACAUAAGUCAUAAAUAUUGUUACAAAGCUGAUCGAACUCUCGGAAUCUAAAUUAGGACCCGGUAUCAACAAAAACCCAAUUAUGACUAAAUUUAGGAAUUCUUAAAUCUUUAAAUUUCUAGUUUCCGUUAAAUCGAUAAUUUGAGCUAGGACCUUCGAAUUCGAUUCUGGGCAUAUGCCCAAGUCCCAAAUCACGAUACGGACCUACCGGAACUGUCAAAAUACUGAUCCGGAUUUGUUGGCUCAAAACGUUGACCGAAGUCAACUCAGUUGAGUUUUAAAGCUCUAUUUCAUAUUUUGAUCAAUUUUUCAUAUAAAAACUUUUCGGAAAAAUUUACGAAUUGUGCACGCAAAUCAAGGAAUGCUGAAUAGUACUUUUCGAGGUCAUAGAACAUAUAAAUGAAUAUUUAAAAUUAAAGAUGAUAUAUUGGGUCAUCACAACCUCUCCUCUCGUCGGGCGCUCUCAAUCUCCAAGAUCACAGUCUGAAAGAAAGAGAAACAUAAAACGAAGAGUAAGAACGAAGCUUUGAAGUCUACAUAAAGAAACGAAGAGGGAUCGAAAAACUUACCCUAAGAUUGAGGUCGGCUAUGCUCCUAGAUAAAGUGACAUCCUUCAGCUUUUCAAGGGUUUUACCCUCCACGUCAGAACAGAGGGUACCAAGAGAAUGGACCACAUCCUCCGUGUCAACCAGCAAAUUCUGAUCCAUAGGGAUCGCAAUAGUCUGCGUGGUCCUCUCCAAUAUCACCUCAAGUCGGGUAAGUCCCCACCUCCUCGGCAUUCAUAUCAAAGCCUGUCUCAUAACCUUCCUCGGCUAUACAUUUUCCUUUUAUGUCGAUCCUCGAAGAAGGAUCCUCGGCCGGUCGCGAGACCGAUGGCUCAUCUUGCCGCAAGUCGUCAGGGACUCUCGCCGAUGGCCCUUCAAAUUCAAUCACGGUCUUAGGGAGAGACGUGCCCUCUUCGGCUUCAGAUGAUGGCGGAAUCACGAGCGGUAAUUCGGCAUCAUCUUCAAGAUUUAUGGUCGUCGUUUCUCGGAUGACGAAAUCCACUAUCAUCGGAUUCACCACCCGGACAGCUCCUUCGCCGACAUCCAUUGAUCUCCUCUUGCAGGGAAGCAAGUUGCCACUAUUCGGUGACGAUUCCUCUUCAUCAUCCCUGUCUACUAGAUGAUGCAAAGGGGAAGUCGGGAGUUCUGCUACAGAUGUAGUUGACGAUCGAGCAGACCUAGCAGCGGUAGAAGAAGGAACAGAAGCAGACAACCGGGCAGGCCUAGUCGCGGUCAUAACUGGAACAGACUCCGAAGAAGAAGUACGAGCCUUCCUUUUACGAAAUGAAGGAGCAGGAGCCCUCGGUCUACUCGAAGAUCCUCGAGCUGAAAAAGAAAGAUUAAAAGAUAGUCACUUCCUAUACGAAACUAUAGCGAGCAAGCAACUAUGAGGUCAAACAGUAUAGACAUAUAUAUAUAGAUAGAUAUAUGAACUCACCGGUUAAGGAAGACAUAGGCCCGAACUUCUUAAAAAAGGUCGGUCGUUCACGAAUCCCUAUUGUGCGAGGCAGAAUCUGGCUGACCCAGCCAUGAAUGUCCCCGACCAAAUAAGGGGGCAUAGUCUCGGCUACACGAAGAAGGGACGGAAUAUCAAACUAUGACUAAAGCAAGAAGAACAAACACUUGACAAAAAAGGGAUACUUACGAGCAUAAUUCCAAGUCUUAGGGAAUCCGCGCGCGUUGGCCACCGCGUCCUCGGUCUUGAAGAAAAUGUAGUUGAGCCAGAAAGUAGUUGUCACCACUUCCUCGGUGGCUAAGGUACAACAUCGUCCCCCUAUAGAAACUCGGGGCGAAGAGAUGCAUCAGAUGGCGGAGUGUGACCCCGACCCCGGCCAACUCCGCAUAUUUCGUCAAUAUGCGGAUAAGCUUGUAGAUGUAUUGAGAGAGUUGGAUCGGGAAAAUGCCGUAAUAGCGGCAAAAUUACUCCGCCAAUGAGAGACGAGGAAAGGAAUAGCCAACGUAGAAAGGAUACGCAUAGAAAGCGCAAUACCCGGGGCGGUGUAUUUGUACCAUAUCGUGCCCCGCUGGGAUUAGAUCGAUAGGGGCAGGAAUUUUGAAAUUUGCCCUAAGCUUAGUGAGAUCGACCUCUUUCAUCGUCGAUUCAGAGAUCUCAGGGUCGUCCCCAGGCAUUUUCAAAAAGUCGGAUCUAACUUUUUCACAACGAGGGAUUAUUUCCUCCACUGUAGAAAAAUUCUCAUCUUCAAUGGCAAUAGAAACACUAUCGCCAUGAGGAGGCAUACGCACCGCCAAAGAGAUAGGGUCAGUUGCCAUGCUGGAAUCAGAGGGUAUGUUAACCAUAUUUUCGAGAGAAGAUGUUUAAGUACAUAAGUGUUGGAAGUAAUUGGAAUCACCAGAAUCAGGGGAGUGGAUACGCGAUAACGAAGUAAAAGGAAGACAAAGAUUCAAUAUGAAGAAUAGAGAAGAAGACACAGAGACUCGAUAUUAAGAAUAUGCAAAACACAAACGAAUGGUCUCAUAUCCUUAUUUAUAAGAGUCCAAGCGUCAGGACCAAGAGAAUCAGGCCAUCAUUACCUAGCACAGGAAUCAAAAUGGCAGAGGCAUGGGAAACGAUGCAAAGCAUUGGAAAAAUACACCAAAUGAUGCAUGAUGUCAUGACGUCAUUCUGACACGAUGCGACCCCAAAGGUUGCGGUUCACGAAAGAUCAUGUUGUCACCUCGUCUGAAACGCCACUACUCGACUCGCUCGCCUAAUUUUGCCAACCACGAUAAACAGAGUCCGCUCAUCAAGGUCGCCUGGGGUCGGCAUUAAUGAGCGGAGGGACUAACUGUAUAGGCCAAAAAUUUUUCUAAGGAUAUUCAGCGUAAUACAACAUUAAGGAAAGAGUUAGUCUUAGCUCGACCAGGAAGUAGCAAGAUUCGUGGUCGAGAUGUCAACCAUGAUUGAGGUCGAGCAUCGUGUAAAGAACAGUAACGGCUAGUUUUCAAAAUAAAAUAUUAGAGAGAAUAUUCUCUGCAUUUGUACUAUUAGGGUUAAAUAGGGAUAUGUGUCAAGGAUAUAAGGGAAAAACAAAAGGGAAUAGAGGCAUGUAAUAUUCAUUUUGAUAAGAACACUUUUUAGGAGAAGAUUCUCUCUCUCUUUUGUAAGAAUACAAAGAUUAUCUUUUUAUCAAGAUUCUUGCUCAUAUUAUUCCAUAUCUUUCCACCAGAUCUGAGGAUUGAUCAAGCAAAUCUUGAAUCUAUCUGUCAUUCAUCAUUGUCAGGAGAAACAUUCGUCCAAUCCAUCCAUUAUUGGGUGAAUCAUUCCUCAUAUUUAUUUAAAUGUCAUUUAUUGCUAGUUACACCUCUAUUAUUACUCACACUUUAAGAAUAUUUUGUACUUAUUAUCAUCAAUCUUUUACUGGAUAUGUCCCCAUCUCCCACACGUUUUCAAGACUUGCAUCUAGAGUUAUCGUAUUUAACUAGAUUUAACCCAUUAUUACAGAAAUUUAAUAGUUUAGCCGAAAGUUACACUUUUUGGUCAAACAGAUAGAUGUGCUAAAAAUAUUAAAACUUUAUUAUAGGCCUUUUUAAUACCAAUUCGUAUAAUUUCUUUUUCUUGAAUUAUUUUUCUCAAAUUAUUAGGUUUGUUUGAAUAAUGAAAAUUUACUAAGGUGUUUAAAAGAAGCUUAGAGAAAAGAAGAGGUCUUUCCGCCCUUGUGUCUUUACAUCAACAUUUGAAUGAAUAUUGAAUACGGGUAAGUACAUAUAAUCAUACACGUUCAAAGUGUAGCUAAUUAGAUUCACCCAACAGCCUUGAUGUAUACACUUGAUGGAUAUAAUCCUUAAUGUUUGGAAAUUGGCAAAAAAACAGAUAUUUUUGGUCCUCAAACCUAAAACUAAAUUUUCUUAAAAAAAAAUACUUUUUUUAUGUAUUACUUCGGCAUUGGUAUAGUAUAUUUUUUUCUCAAAAUAUGUCCUAUUCAAUUUUUUAUAAUAAUACAAAUUCAUAAUAUAUCCCUUAAGUAUAUACUUCAAGGACCAAAAUAAAGAUCAUUUUCUCGAAGCUGAGCUGACAUAGAUCAUAACUUAUUUGAUCAAACAUCCAAGUACUGUUUAUUUUUCGGUGCAAAAUACAAAAUUGGCUGGUCGGACGAAAUUAGUUGUAUUCGUUAAUUUAAAAGUAUAUAUAUAUAUAUAUAUAUAUAUAUAUAUAUAUUAUAUUUUAUCAGCUAUUAUUGUUGAAAACGGUUAAAAAUAUAUAUUUUAUUAUUUUAUAGAGGCACAAAAUAAAUAUGGUUUUUUUUUUACUCCUAAAUAAAAAUAAAAGCCAAUGGGCCAAUCAGACACAUCACAUGCCCACAUAUAAUUCAUACCGAAUUACGACAAUCUGGUUUGCAUUGACACAUACAUAAGCCGAGAGAAGUCAAAAAUUCUGAAAAAGAAGUAAAGCGAAUGAUGUUCGGGUGGGUGUUACUAUCACUGCUCGUCUGUUUAUUGCGGAAGGGAGAAGCAAUAUGGUUGACUGUGCCGGCGAGUGGAACAAAGUGUGUUUCUGAAGAACUUCACAAUAACGUCGUCGUUUUGGCUGAUUACUUUGCUAUCUCCGAUGAUCACUCGAAUCCCAUCCCCACUAUUUCCGUCAAGGUAACGAGGACAAUGUUUCAUUUAAUUAAUUGGUAUGGGUGACAGUCCACUAGUAUAAUAUCGGGUCAAAUUGCUCGACGACUCGGGGAAUUGUCUUAAAUCCCAUUUAUUAGCCAUUGUUUCGUUCUUGUUUGUCUAUGUGAAUCUGUGGUUUUCCUGUGAUAUAUGUUAGGACUUAUGUGUAUAAGCUUCUUUUUAGGAUAAAUUGGGGUAAAGUUUAAGCAGAUUAAUUUUCGUGACUCCUUUUACUUUUAGAUCAGCUGGAAAACAUUGAUUUAUGUGUUACAUAUGGGAUUGUUUUUUACUUAUUAAAAAAAUAAUGCAUAGACCCAACAAGUGUUUGCACAAAAAAAAAUGAUUUGGAUAAUGUUUUAGGUCUUUGCCAAGUUGUCAAGAAGAUUGUUUUGCUGAUUUAGCAAUCUUACUCUUUAUUCCAGAGCAUUUAUUAAAUUAGAAUGAGUUACUCUUAACUAAGUUAAUGUGAGAGAAUAAUGGAAACAUAGGCAUCUGUUGUGUGAACGGAGCCGUGUGACCCAUAGGUCACGGGUUCGAGCCGUGGAAGCAGCCACUAAUGCUUGCAUUAAGGUAGGUUGUCUACAUCACACCCCCUGAAGUGCAG
rnacentral:lncRNA from 1 species